AGAAUCUACCUUCAGGACGGGGACAACAGCUGGAAACGGCUGCUAAUACCCGAUAUGCCGAAAGGUGAAAAGUUUUUUCGCCUGGAGAGGAGCUCGCGUCCGAUUAGCUAGUUGGUGAGGUAAAAGCUUACCAAGGCGACGAUCGGUAGCUGGUCUGAGAGGAUGAGCAGCCACACUGGAACUGAGACACGGUCCAGACUCCUACGGGAGGCAGCAGUGGGGAAUUUUCCGCAAUGGGCGAAAGCCUGACGGAGCAACGCCGCGUGGGGGAAGAAGGUUUUUGGAUUGUAAACCCCUUUUCUCAAGGAAGAACAAAAUGACGGUACUUGAGGAAUCAGCCUCGGCUAACUCCGUGCCAGCAGCCGCGGUAAUACGGAGGAGGCAAGCGUUAUCCGGAAUUAUUGGGCGUAAAGCGUUCGUAGGCGGCUGUUCAAGUCUGCUGUCAAAGACCGAGGCUCAACCUCGGGUCGGCAGUGGAAACUGAAUAGCUAGAGGUCGGUAGGGGCAGAGGGAAUUCCCAGUGUAGCGGUGAAAUGCGUAGAUAUUGGGAAGAACACCGGUGGCGAAAGCGCUCUGCUGGGCCGAACCUGACGCUGAGGG
rnacentral:rRNA from 1 species